rnacentral:rRNA from 1 species
UACGUAGGCAGCAAGCGUUGUUCGGAAUUACUGGGCGUAAAGAGUGUGUAGGCGGUGUUCUAAGUUUGUCGUGAAAUCUCCCGGCUUAACUGGGAGGGUGCGGCGAAAACUGGAAUGCUAGAGGAUGGGAGAGGUAAGCGGAAUUCCUGGUGUAGCGGUGAAAUGCGUAGAUAUCAGGAGGAACACCCGUGGUGUAGACAGCUUACUGGACCAUUUCUGACGCUGAGACACGAAAGCGUGGGUAGCAAACAGG